UACGUAGGGUGCGAGCGUUGUCCGGAAUUAUUGGGCGUAAAGAGCUUGUAGGCGGUUUGUCGCGUCUGCUGUGAAAAUCCGGGGCUCAACCCCGGACUUGCAGUGGGUACGGGCAGACUAGAGUGUGGUAGGGGAGACUGGAAUUCCUGGUGUAGCGGUGAAAUGCGCAGAUAUCGGGAGGAACACCAGUGGCGAAGGCGAUCAUCUGGGGUUGUUCUGACACUGAGGAGCGAAAGCUAGGGGAGCAAACGGG
rnacentral:rRNA from 1 species